UUGGAUAGCUAGUGUUUGUAGGCUCCRUGCUUGCGCAUCGAACUACAUACCACCUAUCCUUCUCAGUUGCUUCGCGAGCAAAAUUAAGCUCGUUGACGAGAUMUGGGGCUUGUGUUGCGUACCUAACUAGAAGGAAUUGUUGAGUUUGGCUUGAAACGUUGUUCGUGGCAUCUCCCUCAACGGGGGAAGUCGUGAACACAAUAAUCGGCACUUGUGAUCCUUGCGUCUUGGCACCAAAAAUGCUUUGUUUGCAAAGGUGAACAAGAUGUUGGUUGAACUCUUGGAUGCGGAAAKAUUAUGGACGGUGACUGGAAGURAUUCUGUCCCGCCAAAGCACGUUUGUCCUCGGAC
rnacentral:misc_RNA from 1 species